rnacentral:rRNA from 1 species
UGCGUAGACGGUUAUGUAAGUCGGGUGUGAAAGCCCCGGGCUCAACCUGGGAAUGCCAUUCGAGACUGCAUAGCUAGGGUGCGGAAGAGGGAAGCGGAAUUUCAGGUGUAGCGGUGAAAUGCGUAGAUAUCUGAAGGAACACCAGUGGCGAAAGCGGCUUCCUGGUCCAGCACCGACGUUCAGGCACGAAAGCGUGGGGAGCAAACAGGAUUAGAUACCCUGGUAGUCCACGCCAUAAACGAUGAGAACUAGGCGUUGAGAGGGUAAGCCUCCCAGUGUCGUAGCUAACGCGCUAAGUUCUCCGCCUGGGGAGUACGGCCGCAAGGUUGAA